AUUAUUCCAAAAAUACAAUAAAAACAUCAACACCAUUAUAUUGGGAUAGAUUGCAAGAGCAGGAAAAACAUUUUGUUCAAGAUAGAAGAAAAUUGAAGAUUUUUCUGUCUUACAAUCCAUCAUAAAGUAUGACGCGUACAAGUUUGGAGCGGCUACAUAUAAAUAAGGUUUAGGAUAAAGUCUGAUUAAGAAGUACUUUUACAGUAACAUCUGAUUAUCUAAAAAUAAC
rnacentral:lncRNA from 1 species